rnacentral:lncRNA from 1 species
GCGGGACAAGGGUGCUGCCGGCACAGGGCUGACCACAGAGCACAUCAAAAGAGGCCCACUGCUCAGUGGAGCGUGGAGGACGAGGAGGAGGCCGUCCACGAGCAAUGCCAGCAUGAGAGAGACAGGCAGCUUCAGGCCCAGGACGAGGAGGGAGGCGGCCAUGUCCCCGAGCGGCCGAAGCAGGAGAUGCUCCUCAGCCUGAAGCCCUCGGAGGCCCCUGAACUGGAUGAGGACGAGGGCUUUGGCGACUGGUCCCAGAGGCCAGAGCAGCGGCAGCAGCACGAGGGGGCGCAGGGCGCCUUGGACAGCGGAGAGCCCCCCCAGUGCAGGAGUCCUGAGGGGGAGCAAGAGGACAGGCCCGGCCUGCAUGCCUACGAAAAGGAGGACAGUGAUGAAGUCCACCUGGAGGAGUUGAGUCUGAGCAAGGAGGGGCCAGGCCCAGAGGACACUGUCCAGGACAACCUGGGGGCCGCAGGGGCUGAGGAGGAACAGGAGGAGCACCAGAAAUGUCAGCAGCCCAGGACACCCAGCCCCUUGGUCUUGGAGGGGACCAUCGAACAGAGCUCGCCUCCCCUGAGCCCUACCACCAAAGUAAGUUAAGCUGCAAACUCAUCGACAGGACCGAGUCCCUAAACCGCUCCAUAGAGAAGAGUAACAGUGUGAAGAAAUCCCAGCCAGACUUGCCCAUCUCCAAGAUUGAUCAGUGGCUGGAACAAUACACCCAGGCCAUCGAGACCGCUGGCCGGACCCCCAAGCUAGCCCGCCAGGCCUCCAUAGAGCUGCCCAGCAUGGCUGUGGCCAGUACCAAGAGUCGGUGGGAGACGGGUGAGGUACAGGCUCAGUCUGCGGCCAAGACUCCGUCCUGCAAGGAUAUUGUGGCUGGAGACAUGAGCAAGAAAAGCCUCUGGGAGCAGAAGGGAGGCUCCAAGACCUCAUCAACAAUUAAGAGCACCCCAUCUGGGAAGAGGUAUAAGUUUGUGGCCACCGGGCAUGGGAAGUAUGAGAAGGUGCUUGUGGAAGGGGGCCCGGCUCCCUAGGCGUCCCAUCUCGCUUCCUGGGUCUGCAGGUCCAGCCGGCUGGCACCCUCCAUGUACCCAGGGGAGAUUCCAGCCAGACACCCGCCCCCCGGCCCUGGCUAAGAAGUUGCUUCCUGUUGCCAGCAUGACCUACCCUCGCCUCUUUGAUGCCAUCCGCUGCCACCUCCUUUUGCUCCUGGACCCUUUAGCCUCUCUGCCCUUCCACUCUCUGACCACCGCCCCCGCCCUCCCCACCCAGCUCCGCUUCUUGUUACUUGGGGGAGGAAAGAAACUCCUGAUCAUUGGCCAAAGGGACUUACCCCUGGAGAGGCCAAGUGCCUUCUAGGAAGUUAGGAGGUUGAGGCACAGCCUGUGCAGAGAGGGUGGGUCACCCCCCCAGAUCCAAGGAGAAACUGCAGGUCAAGGGCUGAUAACGGCCAUGCAGGAUGCUUGAUGCUGCGUCCCCCGCUGCUUGCCGCCCCCCACCCCGCCAUUUUGUAUAAUAAAGCUCCCUGUGUAUUCUC